CACCUAGCAUACGGAUUGUCAAUGUGCCAUUUCUAUAAUGGAACCAACUAUUUUGGAUCAGGGUUGUUCACUCUGUGAUUUAACUUGUCGAAAUGGUAGAGUGGUGACACAGGUUGGUGACGGGUGUUCGGCUGGUCAGCAACUCCUGUGUGUUGUGGUCAAUGUAACAAACAGUACGAACAACACAUCCAGCGUCACCAUGGGCCAGGACAGAGGGAAGUAUGAUUUCUACAUCGGCCUGGGACUAGCCAUCAGCUCCAGCAUCUUCAUAGGAGGAAGCUUCAUUCUCAAGAAGAAAGGACUACUCCGCCUGGCCAGGAAGGGACAGUGUAGGGCAGGACAAGGCGGACACGCAUAUCUUAAAGAAUGUCUCUGGUGGGCUGGCUUAUUAUCAAUGGCGGCUGGUGAAGGGGCGAACUUUGCGGCGUAUGCCUUCGCUCCUGCUACUCUCGUCACCCCUCUGGGGGCCCUCAGUGUGCUGGUCAGUGCGGUGCUGUCCUCGUACUUCCUGACCGAGCGUCUGAACCUGCACGGGAAGCUGGGCUGUCUGCUCAGUAUCUUGGGCUCUACUACCAUGGUGAUCCACGCCCCUCAGGAGGAAGAGAUCAACAGUCUGGACCACAUGGCUCGGAAACUGGUGGACCCAGGUUUCCUGGUGUUUGCCACCUUCGUCAUCAUCGUAGCGCUCAUCUUCAUCUUGGUGGUGGGCCCUCGGCACGGCCAGACCAACAUCAUGGUGUAUAUUACCAUCUGCUCUGUGAUAGGAGCUCUGUCGGUGUCGUGUGUGAAGGGGUUGGGCAUCGCCAUCAAAGAGGCCAUAGCUGGGAGGUCCGUGGUGGGGAACCCUUUAUCCUGGGUGUUACUGCUCGGGCUGGUGGCCUGCGUCUCCACUCAGAUCAACUACCUGAACAAGGCUCUGGAUAUCUUCAACACCUCCCUGGUCACACCCAUCUACUACGUGUUCUUCACCACCUCAGUCCUCUCCUGCUCUGCCAUCCUCUUCAAGGAGUGGGAGCACAUGGCUACUGCUGAUGUUAUCGGGACUCUGAGUGGGUUCCUGACCAUUAUAGUUGGUAUCUUUCUGCUCCAUGCCUUUAAGGACCUUAGUGUGAGCCUGUCCACGCUGGCGGUGUCCAUCAGGAAGGACGAGAGGCUCGGGCCGGCAGCUAACGGAGUGGCAACACACGGCAGCUACGAACUGCUGCGUAAUGACUCCACAGACAUGAACCUGGAGGAGAGGGAGGUGGGCCUGCCGUUUGACAGUCUGUCCCGGAGGAAUGGUACCAUGACAGCCUCUUAGAGGACCUAGCAGCAGACUCUUCCCCCCCCCCCCCAUCCCACUGACAGCCUCUUAGAGGACCUAGCUGCCAGGUCCUGCAGACCCCCCACCCUACUGACGGCCUCUUAGAGGACCUAGCUGCCAGGUCCUGCAGACCCCCAUCCUACUGACGGCCUCUUAGAGGACCUAGCUGCCAGGUCCUGCAGACCCCCCACCCUACUGACGGCCUCUUAGAGGACCUAGCUGCCAGGUCCUGCAGACCCCCCCAUCCUACUGACGGCCUCUUAGAGGACCUAGCUGCCAGGUCCUGCACCCCCCCACCCUGCCUCUUAGGACCUAGCUGCCAGGUCCUGCAGACCCCCCCGACUGACUAGGAUUACGUCCCAAAUGGCACCCUUUUCCCUUUAUAGUGCACUACUCUGGUCAAAACUAGUGCACUAUAGAGGAUAGGGUGCUAUUUGGGGUUUGCCUAGGACUACACUGGUGUGGAUGGUUGUGUCCUACAUUAAAACAAUCAACUCUUGAUUUAGAUGGACCCACUGAUUGUACUUGGAUUAGAUUUGCCUUCUGUUCUCUGGAGACAGGGGUUCAUCUCAUCCUCAGAAGCAGGCAAUAUUCAUACUAUGUUAUACAGUCUGUAUUUCCUUCUACAAAUCAACAGCUUUGUUUUUGUAAUAUUCUUGGAGAUCCCAGGUCUGAUUUUUUUUAAAUUUUGGGUCCAGUUCUGAGUUUGGCAGGUCAAUAAGGAUAUGUGGCACCCUAUUCCCUACACAGUGCACUACCCCUAUGGAUCUGGUCAGAAGUAGUGCACUAUAUAGGGAAUAGGGGGUCAUUUGGAACGUAAACUGAUACGUGUUCUUAAUUGUGAUACCUGAAGAGUUAAAUCACCAACUGUUUUUUUUGUGUAUCUUUUACAUAAAUGCACUCAAGAACAAGA